CUGAUGGCUGGAGUAGCUGGUGGGGCGCGAGCCAGACACACAUGUAAACAUUUGUCUGCGUAGUCGACUGCGCUGAUCUGUGAGGCUGUAUGAAUAGUGUAUAAAUCGUCCCGUGUCGGUGUAAUGCUUAGUGUUUCCAUCAGUGAAAUGGCUUGCAUGUGUUCCUCAGUGGGAGUUAUUGCUGGCUGCGGGGCAGUGGCAGCUGUUGUGAGGGGCUGAGCUAGCCGGGCUAAUAAUAACCCCGGAGCUGAGUGAGUGCCCACGGGCCCCACAUCGUCUAGGGUUGACCCCCGGAGUCCAGUUGCAGUGGAGAGUGAGGAUUAGGCCAGGUCGUGGAUUAGAGAACGCCAUUUCACCCUUGUAAGGACAAAGGCAGGUGUGCAGGAACGCUACACACUCCGUGGUUAAUGUUGGGGUCGUAAGACCCUGAGUGAACCACUUUGACAGCACAUUGAUCAUGUGCUCUCGAUUGGAGAGCAUAUUCUCCGAUGUUCCUUUCCAGAUUGUCACCUUUCUUAAUGAGCUUCAGCGGGUUCCUGAGGAGGUCGAAACGGACACCAUUUAGCAUUUAACGCCCAUUAGCGCCUGUGAUGUGACCUAAUUGAGCCGAAGCAAUCAGACUGCCUGGCCCUUUAAGUGCGAAGAAGUGAAGUGAAUUCGAGGCAAUUUCUGUAUAUUAUGGCUUGUAUGACAUUGUGCGUUAGCUCGAAGCAAAAGACUAUGACAAACAGAUGGAGAGCUGCGAGUACAAUUUCUGGCGAGUUCUGAAAAACAAUUACAGCUUAACAAAAAUGUUCACCAUGUUUCUUGUCCUUUUUUUCUAGUUGUCCUCUCUAUUUCUAAGCUCUCCCUCCUUUAGCUGGCCAGCUGCUAGCCUGUGGCUCAGUAAAAUUGGACAGGUGAAGCAGGACAGCGGGGCGUCACUGAUACACUUCGACAGAACCGCAGGCUGUUCAGACUUCGAUCGGCUCAUCGGGCGAGAACAGAGGUGAAAUUGUACCCCUCUUUAAAAGUAGUUCAUGUGCUCUGCACCGGUGCUGUAUUUGUUUUAUUAUGCAGCCGCAGUUAUUAAGGUGAAUUAUGUGUUUUGUGUCGAACGGGGACCGCGCCGCACUCCCCUUUUUCGUCUUUCACUGCACAGAUCAGGCAGCAGGCAGAGUGCAGUGCGGCCCGGGUUCAGCAGCGUGGAACAGCUAUUCAGUAACACUCUUUUCAAGAUGUGCUGAGGUUGAAAUAUGAGCAUUAUGAACCUGUCUUCUGGUUGAGAAUAGAUUCCUCCGCAGGCCUGUAAAGUUGCUUUUGCUGGAGACAUGACUUACAAUAAGAGACGGUGCAAGUGUCCUUGUGAGUGUCAGAAAUCAAUUACGCUAUGUUUCCCUUGUGGGUCGGAGGGUAGUAUAUAUGUAUAUGUGCAAGUGUGUGUCUCUGUGUGUGUGUGUAGGAAAUACGGUUGCUUAAGCUUCCAUUGUGUCAGGGAAGAAGUUUCCACUGCGACUUUAAUGCAGUAGAGAGGAUAGUGGGAGAGAGGGAAUUCAAAGUUGGUUAAAGAUGCCUACUGAAAAACUGGCUGGUCUGGAUAAACAAUACAUGUAUGUUGUCAUGCAGAAACAGUCAUAAAUAAACCCACAUGCACACAAA